UGGGGAAUUUUGGACAAUGGGCGAAAGCCUGAUCCAGCAAUGCCGCGUGUGUGAAGAAGGCCUUCGGGUUGUAAAGCACUUUUGUCCGGAAAGAAAUCCUUGGCUCUAAUACAGUCGGGGGAUGACGGUACCGGAAGAAUAAGCACCGGCUAACUACGUGCCAGCAGCCGCGGUAAUACGUAGGGUGCAAGCGUUAAUCGGAAUUACUGGGCGUAAAGCGUGCGCAGGCGGUUUGCUAAGACCGAUGUGAAAUCCCCGGGCUCAACCUGGGAACUGCAUUGGUGACUGGCAGGCUAGAGUAUGGCAGAGGGGGGUAGAAUUCCACGUGUAGCAGUGAAAUGCGUAGAGAUGUGGAGGAAUACCGAUGGCGAAGGCAGCCCCCUGGGCCAAUACUGACGCUCAUGCACGAAAGCGUGGGGAGCAAACAGGAUUAGAUACCCUGGUAGUCCACGCCCUAAAACGAUGUCAACUAGUUGUUGGGGAUUCAUUUCCUUAGUAACGUAGCUAACGCGUGAAGUUGACCGCCUGGGGAGUACGGUCGCAAGAUUAAAAACUUCAAAUGAAUUGACGGGGUCAUAGCUGUUUCCU
rnacentral:rRNA from 1 species